rnacentral:lncRNA from 1 species
CGACUUGCGAGCUGACUCGACUCGUUGGAGCCCCAUAAAAUUUGCUAAUAAUUUUAGGAAAAUAGAAAAGCCUCCCAAAAAAUUAUAUUUGCUUAAAUAAUUCGAUUUACUCCCAGCGAUUUUAACUUACUGCAGAGAAUUGGAGAAGAAAGAAACAGAGAGGACACUCGUCCCAGCAAAAGCCCCAAUUAAAUUUACCGGUUGGUUUUCCCCACCGCCGGCGGAAUAGAAGUUUGUCCCGAUGCAAAUCCUAGUCUCUAGGCCCCGUUUAAUCGCCCUAUUGAACCGCUCGCCGUUACAUUUGCAUAAAAACGCUUUAAAUCUGCGGCCAUUUUCAUCAACGUCAUCAGAGUACAACCAGUCCCGCGGUGGCCUCCCUCGCUUCUUCUCUGAAACCCUCCCUCCUUCCAAGGUACAUUCCUUUUUUGUGUG